UAAAGCAACACCUUUUACGACUUAAUUAGAAUGCUUCUAUGAGCAUAUAACAUAUUUAGAGUAUGUUGUGUUGUGUUCUUUUACUUGAAGUCAUGCUUGCUUCCAAUUGUUCUUUGGUCUUUGGUGUUACCUUUGUUCUCCUCUACAUUAUUUGCUGGCACUAUGCUAACUACAUUUGAUGUUUCACAAACAUAACUUUCAUCAGCGACUAUGUUUACUUUUGCGAAAAUUUGAAAUUUCUUCGAACUUCCAAGUAGUUAGAUUGCACUUGUUGUUGUUGUUUGAACUUCCAAAUAUCAGACAAGAAGAUGCUUUCUGAAGGUCUGCGAAUCUGGCAAUAAAUAAUUCCCAUAAGCUUUUGGGAACACAUCGACCCUGUCAAAUGAAAAUCAUCCUUGAAUGCUUUGUCUGCAUCUAUUCUGCUUUAUUCAGAAACACCUUACAUAGUGUGCUUUAUUCAUUCGUGCUGGAAAAUGUUUUAUUCGACAUCCCCAAUUCUUAUGCAUGUGAUGUAUCAUUGCUGGUUAUAGCUGUUUAAUAGCUUUAGUUCACUUAUGAUCUCUCUCAUCUUUUAUAUGUUUUAGAUCUGUCUGAUAAAUCUCCUGCUAUUUUAUGACCCGGUUAGUUGUUUGAGUUGUUUUGACUUCUGUCUCUGUUUCUACUCUCUUAUAUAUGUGUUGCAUUGUCAGAAAAUAAUACUCCCUCUGUUCCAAUUUAUGUGGCACUGUUUGACUUGGGACAAAGUUUAAGAAAGAAAUGAACGACUUUUGAAAUAUGUGGUCUAAAACAAACCUUAGAUAUUUGUGUGGCUAUAAAUCAUUUCACUAAGGGUAAAAGGGGAAUUCUAAAGUUAAGUUGUUUCUAAUUAUAGAAAAGUAACAUUAUUUUUUGGGAGAGACUAAAAAGGAAAGGGUGCCACAUAAAUUGGGACGGAGGGAGUUCACAAAAACUUACUUUUUUC